CCACUCACAAACCCUAGCCGCUACCUUGUUCUUCCUCUUUAUCGUCAUCUUCUUCUUCAAAUCGUCAUUCCCGUCCAUCGCUUGCGCUGUCAUAUGUCACCAUCGCCAACGUCGUCCCGCGCUGCCACGACCAGUCACUGUCGCACAUCGAAUUGUCAUCGCCAUCACGAAUUGAACACUAUCGUCAUCGCCAGAACCACAAUUUGGAGGAGUAAACGUAACCAAGGUACAAUGCGUCAGCCAACGAAGUUACAAUGUGGUUUCUUUUCUGAAUAGUUCGAAUUUGACUCAACCUCUACGUAGGAAGAAGAAAAUGAUUAACAAGGUAAAGGCAAGACACCUCUAUAUGGUUGAUGACGACAUUGCAAGUAAAGACCGAGGCACAUGCAUAGGAUAGUGAUAUUUCAUUUCUUAGACUUUAGGCUAAAGAGACCGAGGCUCGAGUCGAUGAAGAAGGAAACUAUGCUCGAGAUAGUUGUAAGAUUAAAAAAAAAACGGACAAGAUCAACAUAGGAAUAAGGUCAUUUCGCCCCUACUCCUACCUGAGGAGUCUGGAUAGUUGAGUCAUCACAAGAAAGCGAAAGAAAGGGGAGGAAAAGAAUAAGGGAUAUUAGAAGUUAGGAUUUUGAAAGAAAAGAAGA